rnacentral:lncRNA from 1 species
CUGGCAAAAGGCGGGCUCCAAACCCCAUCGCCACCCUGCUCACUAUGACGCCUCAACUCCCACCGUCCAAACUCCACCUCCUCACUCCCACCCCCCAUCGCGACUAGAUACUUGGAGUUCUCGUGAGUCUCCCUGAUCUCGCCAAAAUGCCACCCGUCCUCUAGGUAAGCGUCCGCCUCCUCCCCUUCCCGGAACUGCUCGUGCAUCUCCCGCGGCUGGGCGGGGUCACCCAGGCCAAGUCCACGUACUCUCUUAGCCACUGCUCCAAGCCGCCGCCGCUGUCGCCCAUUAGAGUCAACUACUCAACGAAGAUGAGCUUCUUGGCCCUAACCAGCGACCGAAGCACGGUGGCAGAGUAGAGCGCACCGUGGAGGCUAGGGCGGAGGAUCUCCACGGUGUUGCCCUUGGCGAAGGAUGAGGGGAGGGGCGGUCUUCUUCUGGUCCUCACAUGUCAUGUGGGUUGAUCAUGUCCGUUUAUGUAAACAUGGAAAUUGAUCAAAUUUAGACAUCCGAAAUAGUCA